AACGAACGCUGGCGGCACGCCUAACACAUGCAAGUCGAACGAGACCUUCGGGUCUAGUGGCGCACGGGUGCGUAACGCGUGGGAACCUGCCCUUAGGUUCGGAAUAACUCCCCGAAAGGGGUGCUAAUACCGGAUAAUGUCUUCGGACCAAAGAUUUAUCGCCUUUGGAUGGGCCCGCGUUGGAUUAGCUAGUUGGUAGGGUAAAAGCCUACCAAGGCGACGAUCCAUAGCUGGUCUGAGAGGAUGAUCAGCCACACUGGGACUGAGACACGGCCCAGACUCCUACGGGAGGCAGCAGUGGGGAAUAUUGGACAAUGGGCGAAAGCCUGAUCCAGCCAUGCCGCGUGAGUGAUGAAGGCCUUAGGGUUGUAAAGCUCUUUUACCCGGGAUGAUAAUGACAGUACCGGGAGAAUAAGCUCCGGCUAACUCCGUG
rnacentral:rRNA from 1 species